CAUGUUGCGCUGGUGUUUGCGCAGGUCCGAAGAGCGCACGAAGGCCUUCCCGCAGUCUGGACACGGGAAAUCAUUUUUCAGAUGCUACCUGGGGACUCCUGCAGCUGCUGUGCAUUUUCUUGGAAUCUCUCAUGGAACCAUGCAUGAUGACUGUUUCUACAUCUCUGCAUGGGAAGGAACUCAGGGAUAGAGGGCACCCCGUUCCAUCCCCAUCCCAGCCCCUAGUGCAGGGGAAGAGAGCCGUGGAUGUUAACUAUUCACCUUCAGAUGCCCUUUCAUGGGGUAGGAACUGGGAAGGGCAGAGGUAGUAACAUCUGAACAAAGCUGGGUGAAUUCCCACGGAAGACGGAGCAUCGAGUCGUCAAUGCCUUUUGGUAAACAAGUCGCAGCUCUUCCGUCUUGGCUCAUCCUCAUGGGCACAUCCCAGUGGUGUUCCCUGCCCACCUCUGCACCCACAUUUUAAGUGCCUGGAAUGUGUGAGACGGAUCCUGCCCUUUCCUUCACCAAGCCACCUAGCAGAACCCAUGCCAUCCAGGGCAUCUGCGAGAGAAACACCUCUCCCAGCCUCCCCUGAGCAGCCCACUAGCGCUGUGGAUUCCAGAUCCUGAAACUGCAUCUUGCACUCGGUGUCCUGAGCCCAGCUGAAGUGGCAGGAGCACCACUGACUCCAGAACAGACUUGUAAAGAAAGAAGGUAUCUCCCAAGUCAGCCACAGAGGCUCAUGGUUUCCUGCUCCAUCUAGUCCUGGGUGUUUGCUUAAAUGGGCACUGGCUGACAUGACUGAAACCUCAUGCAUCCAUCACACAUUCACCCUCAACAAAGACACAGCCCCUCCUUUAAGGCCUGUGCUCCCUGUACAUACACAGUGCCCUGCAGCACAGAGAAACCACAUGAAUGGCCUUCUUGGCUCAAGGAGUCAGGGAGUAGGGGCCUGCUGAGCAUGACCAUGUCCAGAGAGUGGGGACCCCAAGAACUGUAACAGCCCAUUGGACAGAUGUGGGCAGGAAUGGGGACAAAAUCACCCACAGUCUCAGACCCCAAAUGAGGUGUGAAUAUGAAAUCCAUGAAAACCUCAUGUGGAGGCCAAAAGACUAACUAGAUUCCCAUCUCAUCUCUCCAGGCCAGAAGCCUAUUAUCCAAUCCUUCCUCUCAUUGCAAGCCCCAGAAGUAACAGCAAUUACAAAAUAAAGAAAAAUAAGAACUUGUCAGCUCCAAUUUUGGGGUUUGAAUGUGGUCUCUGGGGAAUGAUCAGACGGUGGAAGCAGCUGUGGGCAGGGACUCCUCAUGCAGCGAUGACUACUCACUAACCCAGGGCAUGCAUUCGAGGUAAACCCUGUGGGAUUCAGGGCUUGUCCUGCAUCUCACAGUUGAGCGGGCAAGAGCCACCUCUGCCCAAGUGAGGCUUUGUCCCGCACGUCAUCUGUAUGACCUUGCUCUAGGCUGCUCAGGGACGGUUUAUGCAGAUUUUGGUGGAUGCUAGACACACUAAAGAAACACCAUCUCAGGGGUCACUUGGAUUGGAAUGAAGCCAAGGCCAUGGGACCAACUGACUUCCAAGGAUAUUUGGGCCAGGGUGGCAGAUACGUAGGAGAAAAUGUCCUUUGGUGUGAGGAGAGGUCCUUCCCAACCCCAGGGUGUGCACUCCUCUGGCCCUUUGGAGCUGUUAAAUACUGGCCAGAGCAGAUGACAUGAGAUGCCUACUUUUGGAUGGAAACACCUUGCAUGAUCUCUGCUUCUUCAUUCCUGUAAUUGUUUUAAACAGUACUCAUGGAAGAAAACUCAGGACCAUUUUUGUUAGUGGCUAACAAAUUGUUACAGCCUUUAUCAUAGUGUAAGCAUUCUGCAAACUCAGAGACUUUGCAUCUGGAGAUCUGCUACUACGAUGCAACAUUCAGUGUCUUUCAAAAUGGAACCUGGCAUAUCACCUUUUUGUUUGAUAUUUUCCCCACUCUUCAUCUCACUUAUCCUCCUUUUCUUUCAUUCCCGUCUACAUACAAACUUCAUGAGAGAACAGUUUUCUCUUUGGAAGAAUCUAACUUAGAUAUUUUGUGCUAUCAUAUGGACAGAAGGGCUAAAACUCUUCUUUAGUGGCUAGUCAAUAAUCGCAAAGCCAGGAUCACAAUUUCCUCCCAGUUUUCCACUCAGUCCUGACUUUGCUCAGCUGGAGUAUUUGCUAAUGAAUAGACUCUGCUUUCCUCAUUCAGAAAGUACACGGCUUUUGUCAUUGGCAGAGCCCAUUCACUGUCUAUGUCAUAUAUAAUGUCAAGUUUUGUAAGCAUAAUAUACCAGAUAGGUCUCUGUUCAGGAACAGUCCACCAUGUAAUCCAGUUCUUCACCACAAGGACCUGUAGUAUCAUGGUAGGAGAUGUUGAGAGUGAGACAUAGCCAGCUGUGGAUUUCCAGCUGAAGAAGCAUUGAGAAGGUAUUUUAAGUAUUCAAUACUUUGGGGCAGGAUGACACACAAACCAUUACAGAUAGAGGAGCAUCAGGUACAUGUUAAAGGCCCUCAGAAAUAAAGAGUCCAUAAUCAAUGCCAAAUACCAUCUUGUAACAGAAUUUCUUCUUACUUAAGGGGAGUUGGUAUUAUUGAGAACUUAUUAACAGUCAGGAAUAUUUUACAUUCAUUGUCUUAACUAAUGCUCACAAAAGCCCUCUGAUUUAGGAACUCAGACAACCCCAUUUUACAGAUGAGAAAACUGAAGUUUAUAGAAGUUAAGUUACUUUUCCAAGUAAGUGGCAGAAUCUAGAUUCAACCCUAGUAUAUUUUUCUCUAAAGGCCAAGAGAUUAGCUACCAUGCCUUAUGCUACAUUGCCUCACCUGAACACUCAUGCUAUAAUUUACACUCACUGCUUGUAUUUGUUUCUGGCACAGUCUCUCCCAGAACCCCAGAAUACCAGACCAGCACCAUCUAAUGGAAAUAUAAUGUGAGCCAUGAAUAUAGGCCACAUUUGUAAUUUUAAAUUUUCUAGUAGCCACAUUUUUAAAUAUUAAAAAAAUGAGUGAAAUUAAUUUAAAUAUUGUAUUUAACCCAGUAUAUCUAAAGCAUUAUCAUUUCAACAUGAAAUCAACAUAAAAAUUAUCCAUGAAAUAACUUAACACUUUCUUUUGGACUAAGCCUUUGCAAACUGAUGGGUGUUGUAUGCUUACAGCCUGACUUAGUUCCAACUGUCCACAUUUCAAUUGCUUAAUAGCCAUGUGGCCAGUAGCUACCAAACCAAACACCAUGAGUCUAAAUUCAUAAUCCCAACACUCUUCAUAAUCUUUGGAGCUCUUCUUGAAAGUCUUUCAGAAGAUAGGAACAGAACUGACAAGAUAAAGAGCCUAUUUUUAGUUAUUUGCUUUAGUCCAAGAAAAGAAAAGAAAUAAACAAUAGAUUUCACAACUUCCAUCUACAACCAGUAGUCAGCUUAGUUGCUGAAGGUCAGAUGAGAAGCAGAGUGAUGGAAUCCACAUCAUUACAUAACAUGUGUCAGGUGUUCACAUGCUUUCAGAGGGAAGCUGAACACAAUGUGAAGAUCAGAAAGCUGUAGAUCCCUGACCAGAGGGUUGCUCAUGAAUCCAGCUCACAAGGAACACCAGCAGAGCUACCAUUAACUCCCUCCCAGUCCUUCCUCUCCUUACUGUCACUCUCACCCCUGCCCCAGUUUGAAAGGCAAGGUGCAUGAGCCAGGCCUAACCAGUGUAGGACAGACCCCAUCCUCCUCACAUCCAGAGGGCAGAAAGAAACCUCAAGACCUCCUUUCACCCCCAGCCCCUUGGAGAAUCCUCUAACACCAGGAGUUCUCAAACUUUUAUGCACAACAGAAUCACCUGGAGGACAUGUUAAAAUUCUGAUUCUGUGCCUUAUCCCCAAGAGGUCUGAGAUGGGGCUGGGGAAUGUGCAUUUCUAGCAGGUUCCAAGGCUGUUCAUGCUGUAGGUCAGAAGAUGAUCACACAUUGAGAACCCAAAGCUCAUCCCUAAGUUAUCAAUAUAUCACUCAACAGCAAGAACAGAUCUAAGAAAAG
rnacentral:lncRNA from 1 species